GAGUUCUUGUGUUAGUCUGAUAGAUGAGUCGGGUACAAGAGUGAAGAUUUGAGAGCUGAGAUGGAAGAUGAGGAGACGGUGUGUGUGUGUGUGCGUGUGUGCGUG